rnacentral:rRNA from 1 species
AAGAGACAGCAGUAGCCGCGGGAAUACGUAGGUGGCAAGCGUUGUCCGGAAUUAUUGGGCGUAAAGCGCGCGCAGGCGGAUAGGUCAGUCUGUCUUAAAAGUUCGGGGCUUAACCCCGUGAUGGGAUGGAAACUGCCAAUCUAGAGUAUCGGAGAGGAAAGUGGAAUUCCUAGUGUAGCGGUGAAAUGCGUAGAUAUUAGGAAGAACACCAGUGGCGAAGGCGACUUUCUGGACGAAAACUGACGCUGAGGCGCGAAAGCCAGGGGAGCGAACGGGAUUAGAUACCCGCGUAGUCCCUGUCUCUUAUACC